rnacentral:rRNA from 1 species
CCUACGGGGGGCAGCAGUGGGGAAUAUUGGACAAUGGGGGCAACCCUGAUCCAGCCAUGCCGCGUGUGUGAAGAAGGCCCUCGGGUUGUAAAGCACUUUCAGUGAGGAAGAACGCCUGGUGGUUAAUACCCAUCAGGAAAGACAUCACUCACAGAAGAAGCACCGGCUAACUCCGUGCCAGCAGCCGCGGUAAUACGGAGGGUGCGAGCGUUAAUCGGAAUUACUGGGCGUAAAGCGCGCGUAGGUGGCUUGAUAAGCCGGUUGUGAAAGCCCCGGGCUCAACCUGGGAACGGCAUCCGGAACUGUCAAGCUAGAGUGCAGGAGAGGAAGGUAGAAUUCCCGGUGUAGCGGUGAAAUGCGUAGAGAUCGGGAGGAAUACCAGUGGCGAAGGCGGCCUUCUGGACUGACACUGACACUGAGGUGCGAAAGCGUGGGUAGCAAACGGGAUUAGAUACCCGGGUAGUC